CCCUUAGAUGUUCUGGGCCACACGCGUGCUACACUGAUGCAUUCAACGAGUCUAAAACCUGGUCUGAUAGGGCUGGGUAAUCUUUUGAAAGUGCAUCGUGAUUGGGAUAGAUGAUUGCAAUUCUUCAUCUUCAACGAGGAAUGCCUAGUAAACGCAAGUCAUCAGCUUGCAUUGAUUACGUCCCUGCCCUUUGUACACACCGCCCGUCGCUCCUACCGAUUGAAUGAUCCGAUGAAUACCAUGGAUUGAGAGUUCGAACAGGUUCGCCUGUUUCAGCUUCUCGAGAAGUGGAGUAAAUCUUAUCAUUUAGAGGAAGGAGAAGUCGUAACA
rnacentral:rRNA from 1 species